CAUUGAGCCAGAUCAAGAUCUAUCUUGGUCUAAUUAAAGAUAUGGACUUCACCAACUAUAACUAUUGAGAAUUGAUCAAGAAAAGAAUUGACCCAAUCAGGAUUAACAAAUAAUUAGAUUAAUUAAUUACUUAACACAGUUCAUUAUCUAUAUCAAGCCCUAGGUCUAACCCUAUUAAACAAACCUAACUUGAGCUAACCCAUAAACCCAUGAUUUAU
rnacentral:lncRNA from 1 species